CUACGGGGCGCUGCAGUGGGGAAUAUUGCACAAUGGAGGAAACUCUGAUGCAGCAACGCCGCGUGGAGGAUGACGCAUUUCGGUGUGUAAACUCCUUUUAUAUGUCAAGAAAAUGACGGUAGCAUAUGAAUAAGCACCGGCUAACUCCGUGCCAGCAGCCGCGGUAAUACGGAGGGUGCAAGCGUUACUCGGAAUCACUGGGCGUAAAGGACGCGUAGGCGGGUUGGAAAGUCAGGUGUGAAAUCCUACAGCUUAACUGUAGAACUGCACUUGAAACUUCUAAUCUAGAGUAUGGGAGGGGGAGAUGGAAUUAGUGGUGUAGGGGUAAAAUCCGUAGAUAUCACUAGGAAUACCUAAAGCGAAGGCGAUCUCCUGGAACAUUACUGACGCUAAGGCGUGAAAGCGUGGGGAGCAAACAGGAUUAGAUACCCCAGUAGUC
rnacentral:rRNA from 1 species